rnacentral:rRNA from 1 species
GACGUAGGGUGCGAGCGUUGUCCGGAUUUAUUGGGCGUAAAGAGCUCGUAGGCGGUUCGUUGCGUCAGCUGUGAAAACCCGCAGCUUAACUGUGGGCUUGCAGCUGAUACGGGCGGACUAGAGUUCGGUAGGGGAGACUGGAAUUCCUGGUGUAGCGGUGGAAUGCGCAGAUAUCAGGAGGAACACCGGUGGCGAAGGCGGGUCUCUGGGCAGUAACUGACGCUGAGGAGCGAAAGCGUGGGGAGCGAACAGG